AGGCUUGACGGUGCUUAUGCUUAGACAU
rnacentral:piRNA from 1 species